CAUGGAGGGUGAGAAUCCCGUCUUUGGUCGAUGUUCGGACGGCACACGAUAGACUUUCCAAGAGUCGAGUUGUUUGGGAUUGCAGCUCAAAUUGGGUGGUAAACUCCAUCUAAGGCUAAAUAUUGGCGAGAGACCGAUAGCGAACAAGUACCGUGAGGGAAAGAUGAAAAGAACUUUGAAAAGAGAGUAAAACAGUACGUGAAAUUGUUGAAAGGGAAACGGUUGAAGUCAGUCGUGCCGGUGGAAACUCAGCGAUUUUCCUUUGGGGAAGUUGUGAAAUUUUUCGCAUGGCAGGUCAGCAUCAGUUUCUUGAGUGGUAAAAAGGUUCUGGUAAGGUAGCUCUUCUCGGAGAGUGUUAUAGACCGGAGCAAAUGCCCCUUGCGAGACUGAGGAUUGCAGCAGACACCAUUCGUGGAGCGGCCCAUGAUCUCUGUCCGGCUCCCCGUGCUCAACAGCAUGCUGAGUGGGUGUGGGGACGCUUUGAACACCAGGUUGCGGAAGCCAGCGGUUUGCUAAGGAUGUUGACGUAAUGGCUUUAAACGAC
rnacentral:rRNA from 1 species